AAGACGGUAGCUGAGUGGUUUAGCGUGCACUUUACACGUGUGAUACAAGAGUUCGAAUCUCUUUCGUCUUA
rnacentral:tRNA from 1 species